AAUAGAGUAAUAUUCUUGAUACACCAAAUUUUGUAUAAUUUAUUAUAGAUCUGAUCACUCAUCACUUCAUCAUCAACAAUAACUGCAUCUGAGAUUAAUAGUUCUACAGUAACCGUGGGGUCUAGGUCAACAAUUACUAUUUCUCAUCCAAGCCGUUUUUGUUUAACUGCUACACAUUCCCUGACUCCGCUAAGGAAAAGACUGAGAGAUGUAGAGGUAUGCUUGGAGAAAGAUAUAAAUUUAUUAAUAUCACCAUCACCCAAAAAGGUCAAAUCAAAAUGAUAUCCUGAGGAACUAAGCACUGAUGAUUCCACCGUUUCAAAAGCUAAAGUUAGUCGCCAAAAUAUGGAAAAAAAAUAAAGAAUAAAAAAUUAAAAUUCGAAGAUUGCAACAAACAAAUUUGCGCCAAAGAAAUCGAAGAUGCUUCGCCUUGGUUAAUUAUGCUUAUCAGUGAAUUUAUUUUUUUUUUAUGUUUUUGUAUAUAAUAUUGUUCAUGAUUUUGUUCCUGAAAGGCUUUGAACGUUGCCAUAAAUCAUUAUAUAAU